rnacentral:rRNA from 1 species
UCAAAGGAAUUGACGGGGCCCGCACAAGCAGCGGAGCGUGUGAUUUAAUUCGAUGCUACACGAAGAACCUUACCCGGGUUUGACAUGCAAGUGGUAGUGAUCCGAAAGGUGAACGACCCGCAAGGGAGCUUGCACAGGUGUUGCAUGGCUGUCGUCAGCUCGUGUCGUGAUAUGUUCGGUUAAGUCCGCUAACGAGCGCAACCCUCGCUGUAUGUUACAUGUGUCAUACAGGACCGCCGGUAUCAAGCCGGAGGAAGGUGGGGAUGACGUCAAGUCCGCAUGGCCUUUAUGUCCGGGGCUACACACACGCUACAAUGGUCGGUACAAUGGGUUGCUAAGCCGCGAGGUGGAGCCAAUCCCCCAAAGCCGGCCUCAGUUCAGAUUGCAGGCUGCAACUCGCCUGCAUGAAGCUGGAGUUGCUAGUAAACGCGCGUCAGCUAUAGUGCGUUGAAUACGUUCUCGGGCCUU